UGGGGUAUCGCCAAGCGGUAGCCAAGCGGUAAGGCACCGGUUUUUGAUACCGGCAUUCCCUGGUUCGAAUCCAGGUACCCCAGCCA
rnacentral:tRNA from 1 species